rnacentral:lncRNA from 1 species
GCGGCCCUGUUGCUACUGGUCAAUGUGGCCAGCGCAAUUACUAUUGAAAGAGCUGAAAACAAGUACAGGUCACCUUAUGCUUUGUCAUCUAAAAACGCAUACCUGAUGGCUUUAUGAAGGCGGUGCGUUAAUAUUAAGUUUACAGAAAGCGAUCGCUAAGUCCGUGACUUAUGUAAAUCACGAUGUACGCAUUCUUGCAAUAAAGGAUGACGCGAAUUUCGGUUUCGAAUCUGUUUUUUUUUUUAUGCGUAGUAGUUUCGUACAGUUUAGGUUUGACAUGCGAUCGCGCGUCGACAUCGGACGCUAUGGCACACUCGUGCCUUAUGUGCCACCGAAGCCCCGAAGUGCUCUGGCAUAUACCUUCACAUACAAUGCCUACGCCUAGGCACAGCAGCUCCCUCAUACAGACUCCGCAAGCCAAGAGGCCGUGGAGGCAAAUGCAGGCAGCCAGCACACCUCGAACAGCCACCUUGACUGUGGGUGUGUCACCCUAGUCGCCAAGGAAACAUUUGAGGGAACGCGACAGGCAAUGUGAACAGCCACUUCUCCAUGUAAACGAUACUCUUUCUCUCGGAUGACUCCUAUGCCUCACCAGCACACUUGUGCACAAAUAUGCCACGGAGGCACGUGCAGGUCAGAGGCAAGAAGCAGU